rnacentral:tRNA from 1 species
UCCCUGGUGGCUCAGUGGUAAAGAAUCUGCCUGCCAAUGCAGGAGACCCAGGUUCGAUCCCUGGGUUGGGAA